CCGACCCUCGCGUCGCCUCCCGGGCGACUCGGGGGCGACUAGGGUUCCGCCGCCGCCGCCGCCCCUCCAAUCCUCUCCUCCCUCCUCGCUGCCACCAGAGACGGCCGCCAGGACAGCCAGCGCGGGCGUCGGUGAAGGUGGCAGCGGGGACUGCGGCGCUUUGUCCCUCUCGGAGGCCAUUGGUACCUAGGUUGGCGGCGGCGCCGUGCGACCGUCGGCGUUUGCAGGCGGUCUGCUAGCCAGCAUGCUCGGUCGUGAGGGUGGCGUGCCGCUGGUAGAGUUUCUGUCGCGGCGCAUAUCUCAUAUGCGUCAGAUCUGAAGAUAAAAUUUAUCCAGAGUUUUCGAGUGACCAGAUCCGUGGAGGAGACUCACACCAACGUUGGUAAGAAGCAACCGAAGAAGAAGAAGCAACAACUCAAGAAAUAGCCGUUGUAUCUAGUGCAGGUCCGGAGGCGGAGAAGCUGACCCCCGCCGAGGUGUGUCGUCAGGUCUCCCUCAAGAUUAAGAACAACACGGUGGUAAAGGCGUCGACACGGGCAGAGACAGAAACUGAUGUUGUCGCCGAGCACCCACGGUCCCAACCUCCGCAUCACCUCGUCCAUCCUUCCUCACGCCGCAGCGCUCUCAGUCUAUAGGUGAGCACUCCUCGCGGACUCAUAGUAUUGUACACAUCGGUGAUCAUUCGCGUUGGAUACAUGUUCAAAGUUAAAAGAAGUGUUCAAAUGUCACCAUGGGAUGAGCCCUUCCUUCGCGGUUGUCUCGGUCUGGCCAGUUCGGUUAGAGCCAUGCCUGUGAGAUCAAGUCACGUCUAGUCUAGUUAGGUCUAGUCAGCAUCGCCUGAAGUUGUCAUGCGUCCGCCCAAUCUUUAGAAACGGAAGUGUGUUUCCGUAUACUAUGAGAUACUAGAGGUAAAUUUAUAUACAGUGCUUGAACUUGCCGUGUAUAUUCACUUUAGUCCCUAGUUGUCCAAUACCAAAAACUGAUGCAAAAAAUUGGCUAAUGCAUUCAAUUUGGAGUACUCACUGUCUAAGACGUUAUCUGCCGAUGUGGCAUGGUAUUCCUUUGUAGGCUAACAAGUGGAGGCCGAAUGUAAGAGGGGGAGAGAGAGCGUCACUCAAUUACAUUGUUCUCAAUUACACUUUUUGGACCCGUCCAACACUUUGAUCAUUUGUCCUCAAUUACCUGAACCUACACCUGCAUCUGCACUUGGGGUUGUUGAUGUAUCUGUGAGUCGUUUGGACUCAGCAAGUACAUUACCGAGGGUACAAAAACUAACAAUGCUUAUGGGUUGGAUGUGGAUAAGGUGGUGAGGUUGCACCAAGCAAUAUAAACCAACUAUUAAUAUAUCUAGCGCAUUGAGGAAGGCAUCGAUUGAUAACAAACUGUGUUGCGAUGGCCAUCCUCCCCCUUUCUACUGUUCUUCUCCACCAACAAGUCUCAAACUCUAGUGGCUUCUAUGAAAUCAAUGUGUGUUGAGGUCAACUGAGAGGAACAUAAGCUCAAAUUGUUAACAAGUAGUAUCAGAGCCUACUUCCCACGCUCGAUCUACCAGACUACCUCUUCAAGCCCAAAUUCACGAUGCGGUAACAGAAGAAGUGAUGUCCGUGAAAGCGCUAGUUCUUGAGAUCCCCGAGAGAACGAGGAGCCUCGACAAGAUCAAGGACGUGCAUAAACAAUACGACGGCGAUCUGCAACCAUUCGAAGCGUUGACAACGUCGGCAACAAAGGCACCU